rnacentral:tRNA from 1 species
GGGGUUGUGGCUCAGUGGUAGAGCGCCCACCUUGCACAUGAGAGACCCUGGGUUCCAUCCUCAGCACCACA